rnacentral:lncRNA from 1 species
GUGAUGGUAGUUGUUUAGAAUUCUUUUUCUUGUUUUGGUCUUUUUAUUUCUUGUGAUAUUGAGGUAAGAGAGCAAGGAAUGGAGGAAAAGAAGAUGUGAUAAUUUGUUUCUUUUUAAUAAUGAGAGAGAGAUACUUUUUCUUAUGAGAGUGAGACAGCUAUCAAGAAGUAGCAGAGGGAGGGCGGUUUGAUAGGAAGUUGAGAGAGUUGACAUUUGCGUGAGACUUGCAAUAGACUACCAAUUUUAGUAAUCAUAUUGGAAUCCUAGCAAUGCUACUUGGAUUUGAGUUAUAGUUAGUUUUGUUGACACUGUCACUUGUAGAACACAAGCAUAUCUAAUGAAAGUAGUAUGUAUAUAAACUCAAAUUAAAGUAAUAUAGGCAUAUCUAAAAAAACAAACCAAAGUAAAUCUUAAAUUAAAGGAAAAAGU